GAUGAACGCUGGCGGCGUGCCUAAUACAUGCAAGUCGAGCGAACGGGUGAGAAGCUUGCUUCUCUGAUGUUAGCGGCGGACGGGUGAGUAACACGUGGAUAACCUACCUAUAAGACUGGGAUAACUUCGGGAAACCGGAGCUAAUACCGGAUAAUAUUUUGAACCGCAUGGUUCAAAAGUGAAAGACGGUCUUGCUGUCACUUAUAGAUGGAUCCGCGCUGCAUUAGCUGGUUGGUAAGGUAACGGCUUACCAAGGCAACGAUGCAUAGCCGACCUGAGAGGGUGAUCGGCCACACUGGAACUGAGACACGGUCCAGACUCCUACGGGAGGCAGCAGUAGGGAAUCUUCCGCAAUGGGCGAAAGCCUGACGGAGCAACGCCGCGUGAGUGAUGAAGGUCUUCGGAUCGUAAAACUCUGUUAUUAGGGAAGAACAUAUGUGUAAGUAACUGUGCACAUCUUGACGGUACCUAAUCAGAAAGCCACGGCUAACUACGUGCCAGCAGCCGCGGUAAUACGUAGGUGGCAAGCGUUAUCCGGAAUUAUUGGGCGUAAAGCGCGCGUAGGCGGUUUUUUAAGUCUGAUGUGAAAGCCCACGGCUCAACCGUGGAGGGUCAUUGGAAACUGGAAAACUUGAGUGCAGAAGAGGAAAGUGGAAUUCCAUGUGUAGCGGUGAAAUGCGCAGAGAUAUGGAGGAACACCAGUGGCGAAGGCGACUUUCUGGUCUGUAACUGACGCUGAUGUGCGAAAGCGUGGGGAUCAAACAGGAUUAGAUACCCUGGUAGUCCACGCCGUAAACGAUGAGUGCUAAGUGUUAGGGGGUUUCCGCCCCUUAGUGCUGCAGCUAACGCAUUAAGCACUCCGCCUGGGGAGUACGACCGCAAGGUUGAAACUCAAAGGAAUUGACGGGGACCCGCACAAGCGGUGGAGCAUGUGGUUUAAUUCGAAGCAACGCGAAGAACCUUACCAAAUCUUGACAUCCUUUGACAACUCUAGAGAUAGAGCUUUCCCCUUCGGGGGACAAAGUGACAGGUGGUGCAUGGUUGUCGUCAGCUCGUGUCGUGAGAUGUUGGGUUAAGUCCCGCAACGAGCGCAACCCUUAAGCUUAGUUGCCAUCAUUAAGUUGGGCACUCUAAGUUGACUGCCGGUGACAAACCGGAGGAAGGUGGGGAUGACGUCAAAUCAUCAUGCCCCUUAUGAUUUGGGCUACACACGUGCUACAAUGGACAAUACAAAGGGCAGCGAAACCGCGAGGUCAAGCAAAUCCCAUAAAGUUGUUCUCAGUUCGGAUUGUAGUCUGCAACUCGACUACAUGAAGCUGGAAUCGCUAGUAAUCGUAGAUCAGCAUGCUACGGUGAAUACGUUCCCGGGUCU
rnacentral:rRNA from 1 species